UGGCCUGGGAGCUUAGGAAUUGCUUUUAAAAAAAUGAAAGAAAGAAUUUACCCUGUGUCUACGAAUGGAGCAAGGCUGUACUGAAGCUUCACCUAGUUUGGCACCUUGUCUCUAACAGCCAGCAGUGAGCCAACGUGUGGUCAAGAAGGCCAAGGUGCUGCAUUCAGACUGCAGUGUCUGCUGGAAAUGUACACUGAAAUUUCUUCUCUGACAGGUUCCUGGUUCUCUUUUAAUCAUCAGUUUGCCAGAUAGUGUCUCUGUCACCAGGACUAGGGACACCUCGGACCAAGGUUUAGAGAUUUUGGUGGACCUGACCUUCCACUGCUCAGCUUCCACAUGGGGUCAUCCUUGCUGCCUGCUCCAGGAGUUUUUACGUCAAAGAUCUUCUGCCUGAGGCCUGAGAGCUCCAUGCUUAUGGCAGACAGCAAGAUGGAGAUGACAACAGCAGAACGGCAACAUCCCACAAGGACAGUGAACCACCAGAUGAGUAGGUGCCAGAUGUUGUAGCUGCCUGGGACAGAAGAACCAGGAAAAUUAAGCAAGGGAGCAUGCUCAUCUGCAUUCCCAUGAGGUCCCUGGAAACCCCUUCACCCAAGACAGGAGGAUACAGGGCUCUCCCAGAGCUUGAAUCACAUAGCCUCUCUCAUUCCUUGAGCCUAAGUCUCUGUUGCUGUUGCUGUUGUCAGCAAAAUUAUAAGUAACCAUGCUGAUGCGUAUAAGAGAUGGAAAGGGGAAGCACUGUUUUGUGAGGGGGAGGCUAAGGAAACAGGUGACGUGUGGUGAGAGGAUGAGCAGUGAGAAAUGGAGAAAUGAAAAAUAGAAAGUUUUUGCUAGAGAUGUGACAAAUACGGGCUCAGCUAAGUGUAAUGGAACAAGACAGCAGAGUGGGUAGAGACAAUUUUGUGGUCUUUUGGGAGAGGAAGUAGAGACAAAUAUGUGAAGAUAGUAAAAUAACCCAUGUCCUGACAGCCCUAACGCUUAAGCUCUGGGGGUUUAUGCUGAGGGCAUUUUAUGAUGCUACUGGUCCAAGUUGCUCACCCAGUGCCACAGAUUACUGCCUCAAUGCUGUCUCAUCAGAAAUGGAGACGUGCCCACACUGUAGGCACCAGACUGAUAUACUGACAUAAGCUGAUGACUGUAGCUUAUUCAGUUCACUAGGAAGAGGACUGUGUGACCAAGGGUUCUUGUUUUUAUCCCUAUCAGAUUUAGUGCAAUCGGUCACUAGCUGAUGAGGUCCUGAACCUCUUGAGCCAUCACACCCUAAGCAAACAGGUGCCAAGAGUUGCCAAGAGAGCACUAGAAGAGUCUGGACACUAUUUUAGCCAAUUUACUUGUAUUUAGACCUCCUUUCCUUUACUAGUCACAAGCUCAUCUGUCACUCUAGCUUGCAGAAGGUACUGGAGAAGAUUUGGAAAAGGCCCGUAAGUUUGUUUUUUGGUUCUGUUGUUAUUCAUCUAUAUGGUGAGUAGCCCAGGCAACAUGUAACCCACUGAUACAUUGGAGAAGAGUACUGGUAGUUUUACAGCAUGGCUUCCAGGGUGCAGCAAGGACCAGCAGCUCCUUCAAAAUUUGACAGCAAUCCCAAGCCCAGCAGGGCAGGGCCUAUCCCACCAUCUCAGUCAGAAGCGAAGGCCUGAGGUACUAGGACAGCCCUAGCCCCUGGCACCUCCCUGAGGACAGAGAUGCGCCAGAUACGGUCUCAGCUAGUGGCCAAGGGCAGAGCUUGGAGGUCUGCCCUGCUGUGAUAUUGCUGGUGCAGGGGCUGCCAGCCCCAGGGGCUAAAACUGGGCCCAGGGCCAUGGGUAGGUUUGGGGGAGCCCAUAGGAGUAGGCAGGGACACUGUUGCUGGUGAUGCUCUCAGGAACAUGACAAUGGUGUUGAUCAAGGUUGGCACUCUCCAUCAUCUCUGCUUGCGUUAAGGAAUUAUCGAGAAAAACCUGCUCCAGCAAACAGGUGAGUAUCAAAACAAAGCUGAAUCCAUUCUCAGCAAAACUCACGAUUGUUUCCUUGCUGAGUGCAAAUUCCCACUAAGAAGACAAAAUGAUGCCAACUCUGCACUUGGUGCCAGCUCUGCUUCUGGAGAUUUGCUUUAGUUCUGAUUACAUCUUCCCCAGCGUGUGGUAGGAUGAGCUGCUACUAAACAGCAAGUGGUCCCAUGAGAGUCAUGACUAAUGGCUCCUGCUUAGUUAGAUAAUCAACUAUUUAAUAAAGGGUAAGCUUCUACAUCUUUCCUUCCA
rnacentral:lncRNA from 1 species